rnacentral:rRNA from 1 species
GGACCCGCACAAGCGGUGGAUGAUGUGGUUUAAUUCGAUGCAACGCGAAAAACCUUACCCACCUUUGACAUGUACGGAACUCGCCAGAGAUGGCUUGGUGCUCGAAAGAGAACCGUAACACAGGUGCUGCAUGGCUGUCGUCAGCUCGUGUCGUGAGAUGUUGGGUUAAGUCCCGCAACGAGCGCAACCCUUGUCAUUAGUUGCUACAUUCAGUUGGGCACUCUAAUGAGACUGCCGGUGACAAGCCGGAGGAAGGUGGGGAUGACGUCAAGUCCUCAUGGCCCUUAUAGGUGGGGCUACACACGUCAUACAAUGGCUGGUACAAAGGGUUGCCAACCCGCGAGGGGGAGCUAAUCCCACAAAGCCAGUCGUAGUCCGGAUCGUAGUCUGCAACUCGACUACGUGAAGUCGGAAUCGCUAGUAAUCGUGGAUCAGAAUGUCACGGUGAAUACGUUCCCGGGUCUUGUACACACCGCCCGUCACACCAUGGGAGCGGGUUCUGCCAGAAGUAGUUAGCCUAACCGCAAGGAGGGCGAUUACCACGGCAGGGUUCGUGACUGGGGUGAAGUCGUAACAAGGUAGCCGUAUCGGAAGGUGCGGCU